CUUCUCCCCAAAAUUUCUUCUCGACUAGGCCUAUGGAACUUCAGAGAUCCCCAGCUAAUUGAUCAAAACAAAAACAAAAAAAAUUCAGAGCCAACUUGAGACUGCUUCUAAUUUUCUAAAGAGCCUGAUCUUCUUUAAGUACUUAAAGAAGCGAAGCAGAAGCUGGAACUUGAACUUUCAAAUUUGAUGGAAUCAGAAACCAAGCUUUAUGAUGCCCACCCAAGAGGUCAUUGGAGUUCAAACUCCUGCUAGGUGUGACCAAGGUAAAAG